GCCUGGCCAGGAACUUCCGGCGUAGCUGACAGUGGAGGGAGAGCGCUUCCGCCGGCGCCACCGCCGCGCUCCUCCCCUGGCGCGCGGGUUCCCGAGUCCUAAUCUCCUCGCGGCAGCCCCGCGGCUGGGGGGCGGGGUGCCUGGUUCCCGACCGCUCUAGGCUCCAGCCUGGGGGGCGGAAAGAGGGAUCCUGGAGGUUUUCAAGAGGAGGCAUGAGCAGCUCCUAAGCCGAGAGAUAGUUUGCCCUUCAAUUCUGGACACCCAAAAGAAGCUCAUCUUGCCGAACAAGGGAGCAGGGAGAGCAUGUGAAACAUUACCAUGGUUCUGAGUCAAAGCCAUAUAAAAAGGCAUAUGCAGAUAAGUGUCACUGUUCCUCAUUCUUACUACACAUUAUUUCUACGCAUUCCCACUCACUCCCUGGAGGUAACCAAUCUCAUUUCUGGUUUACCCUUUCUGCAUUUCUUUUGUACAAAAAAGCAGAUACAUGUUUAUUUUCUUAAAAUCUCCUUCCUUUUAAAUGAGGUAGUUUAUCUUCUUUGGUGUCUUUCUUUUCUCAUAAUUUUUUAAUGUUCUCCUGGAUAUUCUUGCCUGUUUAUUUUUCCACAAGAACUUCAGUAUCAACUUAUAUAGCUCCAUUAAAAAAAACCUUGUUGAUAUUUAUUUUGGAAUUGCAUUAAAUCUAUAAAUUGACUUAAAGACAUCUUUAUAAUGUUGACUCAUCCUAUACAAGAAUAGAUGAUGUCUUUUCAUUUGUUCAAGUUUACAUUUUUGGCUUUCAGGAGUGUUUUAAAUUUGUCAUGUCUAGGUUUUACACAUUUCUCAUUACGUAUAUUUCUGGGUAUUUAAUCUUUUUUAUUGCUACUAACAUGGGGCUUUCUCUACCUUUAUGAACUGUAACUGGUUAUUAUUUGUGUAUAUGCACUGAAAAGGGUACAUAUUGUGGGAAGACAAGUGCAGACAUGUUGAAUUUGAGGUAACAGCAGAAUAUACAAGUGAAAAUGUUCUGGAGGCAUUUUGAAAUGCCGGACAAGAGCUAGGAGAGAUAUUAGGGAUUGAUUUUUUUAAAUCUAUAUAUGGGUGAUGAUUGAAACCAGAAGGUAGAAUGUGAUCCUAAGGGAAGAGAGUUACUAAAAAAAUAAAAAUAAAAUAAAAAACUUCAAGCUGAGGCCUGAAUGUUGGAGAACACUCAGGUUUAGGACACGGAGAGGAGGUAGGAGGAACACCAGAAUAAGGGAAGUCACAAAGGCCAACAAGGAAGAAAGAUCCAGAGAGUAAAAGUGGGCCUCUGUGGCAGAAGCUACAAAGACAAUGAAACCUGAGCAAAUGCCAUUAGACGCAGGUAAUUAAUGUUUUCCAAAGCUUGGUCCCCAGCAUUCUAGUUCCUUCAAAAAAUGUUAUGGAGAUCAAAAAGUUUGGAAAGCGCUGAUUAAUCCAAAUUAAAUAGGUUUCUUUACUAUGGGACUUGUUAGAACUAUCAACAUGCUCCUGGGAAAUCUGAGUUUCCAUAAUAGAGAAUGGUAUGCAGAUUUCUACAUUUCUGUUUUCCAACUAACCUAGAGUUUCCUUAACCGAUCUUUUUUUUCCAAAAGAAUUUCUCAAGACGAGAUGCGUCUUGGAACAUACUUUGGAAAUGUUAGAGCACACGGAAACAGACCUUUCUAACUCUGGAAGAUUGCCACCAAGUAGUGUUAGUGUCGUCAACCACAGCCACAGCCGAGCAACACUCUGGAAGCCACUCUCAAGCAGGCACCCAGAGCUGGAGAUGACAGGAGGGUGCACUGAGGCCGAGCGGGGCUAUAUUGAGAGCAAGGGAGAAGCAAGGAGCCAUUUGAGUCAAAAGGCCCAGGAGUUUCUGGAAACUCACAAGCAAUCUGGCAGCACAGUUCCCAAGAGGUCUGACCCAGGAGAGCCAGAAAGACUCUCUGGUUCUCAGAAGCAAAUCCCCAACCCUGGGAAUCCAGAAGCUGCAGGCUCUUUCCAGAAGUGAGCAGCUCCUGCCAGAGUCCUUCCAGACUAAGCUGUAGGGGGGCAAAAACCUGGCAGGCAGGGUGGGGACAGGGCUGACUGGGAUUCUAUCUCUCAAAUAGAAAACAACCUAAAUAGUCCAACAUUCUAAAUGAAAUUUUUUAAAUUGAAAACUUUAAAUGAAGUCACUCCUCAAGAAAUACUUUGUCAGCAUAGGAGAAAGUGCUUCUCUAAAUAAACACGUUAAAAGAAAUUAUAGUGACCCUGGAAGACAGCAGAGAGUUGGAUGGAUUUAUCAUAAAUCUGUUCAUUGAGAUGGAGCAUUCAUUUAAAUAGAAGUCAUGUGCAAAAAGAAAUCUUUUGCAUGAUAUUUAGUAGUAAAUUAAAAGGCAUGACAAUUGCUUGAUUAUCCAAUACUAAUGCAAGAUUCUUAAUUUUUUUAAGGCUUAGAGGCAUUGCACAGUCUAGAGGUAAGUGGAUAUAUAAAUACAGUCCACUGGAUCGAUGCUUGCCUCGUAGAAUUUCACCCAACUUCAGGUCCUAAAUUUGUUCCAGUUGUGAACAAGUCUGAACCAAGCCUGGUAGCAUAUUGGAAACCCCAUUCCCAUCAGUUCGUAGGGUCUGGAAUGAGUCUUGUUAAUCUAACUGUGGUAUCCAGGGCACCCGUACCUACCUGACCUUCAUCUUCCCUGUCCCCAUCUUCCCUGUGCAUACCUAAUCUGCAUUACAGGACUUCUUCCCCAGUUUAUUUGGUAACCCAUUUUUCUCCUAGAUAUAUAUCUGUCCUAAACCCUUUUGACUGGGGUCUUGACAGUCACCCUAGUCCUUGUCAGUAGCUAACCUUGACACCUCCCCAACACCAUCACCAACCCUACACUCUACCGGACUGCUGGGGCCUUGCCUCCAACCGGACAGAAAUCUCACAGCCACUAUUCUUUCACCAUUUGACUUAAAUUAUCACCACCUCAUGGAGAUCCCUGCCACGAGGCCUCAACCCAAAUAUCUGAUGUUUUUAGCAUAGGCACUAAUUGAAUAGGAUGAAAGCUCAUAACAGUUCCCUGGACAUCAUGAUUUGGAAUGCUGACAACUCCCAACCAUCAGUCUUAGCCGCGCUUAUGCCCAAAUAGGUCCCCUUUCCCAACAAUCUGCCCGGAAUGAGGCCCCAAAAUACUUUUUAAGAAAUUUUAAUAACUUGGGGCGCCUGGGUGGCUCAGUCGGUUGAGCG